rnacentral:lncRNA from 1 species
UAGUUCCAGAUCCCGUAAAUCUUGGUUGCACUGCCCCAUCAAUGUGCAGUUUGCAGAACGACGAAAAUGUAAUCCAAUGCGUUAAGUUGGAGGGAUUUUGCAAGCAGCUGAUAAAUAGUUUAAUCUAUCGACAUCAAUAUAAUAGAAGGAUGGAAGAAACAUAAGCUACGAUGUAGGAAAAACAGACUGAUACUAUCUACCUGCAGGAGAUUUAAUCAUAAAUCCUCUCUUAACGUCAAUGAAACUCUAAUUUUUUGUCAAACUUGUUUAAAAUAUACUACUUUUUUUCUAUUUAUUAAAACAUUUAGAACCU